rnacentral:rRNA from 1 species
CGACCUUGGAUCGGCUCCCGAAUGCCAUGCUCUGUUAACCUUGCCCUGUUUAACGCUGCAGCUUCAAUCACUCUUGGCAACGGAAGAUCGACCAAAUUUUGGCCCUCUUGCUGGCUUAAUGGUUCAGCCCCAAAGAACAUUGCCCCCAACCUUUACAGGCUCGCGUGGAGGAAGAAUGGGUCGGUUGCAGAUGCACUAGCCAAUGGCAACUGAAUGAGAGGGUUGCAAAGGCUGACAACAACUACUGACCUUCACUGUUUCUUUUCCCUCUGGCAACAUAUUCAGCAAGUCAACCUCAAUGAUGAACCUGAUGCAAUCUGCUGGAAGACCUCAUCAUCAAAUCACUACUCUGCCUCGUCAGCAUACGACCUUCAGUUCUUGGGCCCCAUCAACCGACCUGCCCUGGAAAAAAUCUGGUAUAUCAAGUCUGAGUCUGAAGAAAAAGUGAAAUUCUUCACUCGGCUGUUGGCGCAGAACAGGCUGCCCACCACCGACCGGCUGCGAGCCACAGGCUUUGACAUCGACGACAGAUGUUCUCUCUGCGAUCAGACUGCUGAAAGUGAUGUGCACUUGUUUUGCCACUGCCCCUUCACUUCUGAAGUUUGUUUCAAGCUGUACUGCACCCUGCAACCCAGUCAAAAUGCUGCUGAAAUUUUCAACAACAUGCACUUUCCCACUGCUCAGGAGUGGUGGGCUUAUCAUGUUGGAAUUUUGCUAGUAGGCCUUUGGCCCAAAGACCAAUUAAAAUUCUGA